rnacentral:rRNA from 1 species
UGGGGAAUAUUGCACAAUGGGCGCAAGCCUGAUGCAGCCAUGCCGCGUGUGUGAAGAAGCCUUCGGGUUGUAAAGCACUUUCAGCGAGGAGGAAGGUGGUGAGCUUAAUACGCUCAUCAAUUGACGUUACUCGCAGAAGAAGCACCGGCUAACUCCGUGCCAGCAGCCGCGGUAAUACGGAGGGUGCAAGCGUUAAUCGGAAUUACUGGGCGUAAACGCACGCAGGCGGUUUGUUAAGUCAGAUGUGAAAAUCCCCGGGCUCAACCUGGGAACUGCAUUUGAAACUGGCAAGCUAGAGUCUCGUAGAGGGGGUAGAAAUUCCAGGUGUAGCGGUGAAAUGCGUAGAGAUCUGGAGGAAUACCGGUGGCGAAGGCGGCCCCCUGGACGAAGACUGACGCUCAGGUGCGAAAAGCUGGGGAGCAAACAGGAUUAGAUACCCUGGUAGUCCA